CGGCUUAUAGUACAACGGAUAGUGCAGUCGCCUUCUAAGCGACGAAUGUGAGUUCGAUUCCUGCUAGGCCGACCA
rnacentral:tRNA from 1 species